rnacentral:rRNA from 1 species
AACGAACGCUGGCGGCAUGCCUAACACAUGCAAGUCGAACGAGACCUUCGGGUCUAGUGGCGCACGGGUGCGUAACGCGUGGGAACCUGCCCUUAGGUUCGGAAUAACUCCCCGAAAGGGGUGCUAAUGCCGGAUAAUGUCUUCGGACCAAAGAUUUAUCGCCUUUGGAUGGGCCCGCGUUGGAUUAGCUAGUUGGUAGGGUAAAAGCCUACCAAGGCGACGAUCCAUAGUUGGUCUGAGAGGAUGAUCAGCCACACUGGGACUGAGACACGGCCCAGACUCCUACGGGAGGCAGCAGUGGGGAAUAGUGGACAAUGGGCGAAAGCCUGAUCCAGCAAUGCCGCGUGAGUGAUGAAGGCCUUAGGGUUGUAAAGCUCUUUUACCCGGGAUGAUAAUGACAGUACCGGGAGAAUAAGCUCCGGCUAACUCCGUG